UACACAUGCAGUCGAACGGCAGCACGGGCUUCGGCCUGGUGGCGAGUGGCGAACGGGUGAGUAAUACAUCGGAACGUGCCCUGUAGUGGGGGAUAACUAGUCGAAAGAUUAGCUAAUACCGCAUACGACCUGAGGGUGAAAGCGGGGGACCGCAAGGCCUCGCGCUACAGGAGCGGCCGAUGUCUGAUUAGCUAGUUGGUGGGGUAAGAGCCUACCAAGGCGACGAUCAGUAGCUGGUCUGAGAGGACGAUCAGCCACACUGGGACUGAGACACGGCCCAGACUCCUACGGGAGGCAGCAGUGGGGAAUUUUGGACAAUGGGGGCAACCCUGAUCCAGCAAUGCCGCGUGUGUGAAGAAGGCCUUCGGGUUGUAAAGCACUUUUGUCCGGAAAGAAAUGGCCUGGGAUAAUACCCCGGGUCGAUGACGGUACCGGAAGAAUAAGCACCGGCUAACUACGUGCCAGCAGCCGCGGUAAUACGUAGGGUGCGAGCGUUAAUCGGAAUUACUGGGCGUAAAGCGUGCGCAGGCGGUUUUGUAAGACAGGCGUGAAAUCCCCGAGCUUAACUUGGGAAUGGCGCUUGUGACUGCAAGGCUAGAGUAUGUCAGAGGGGGGUAGAAUUCCACGUGUAGCAGUGAAAUGCGUAGAGAUGUGGAGGAAUACCGAUGGCGAAGGCAGCCCCCUGGGACGUCACUGACGCUCAUGCACGAAAGCGUGGGGAGCAAACAGGAUUAGAUACCCUGGUAGUCCACGCCCUAAACGAUGUCAACUAGUUGUUGGGGAUUCAUUUCUUCAGUAACGUAGCUCACGCGUGAAGUUGACCGCCUGGGGAGUACGGUCGCAAGAUUAAAACUCAAAUG
rnacentral:rRNA from 1 species